AUUGAACGCUGGCGGCAGGCCUAACACAUGCAAGUCGAACGAGUGGCGGACUGGUGAGUAAUGUCUGGGAAACUGCCUGAUGGAGGGGGAUAACUACUGGAAACGGUAGCUAAUACCGCAUACCAUCGGAUGUGCCCAGAUUGGAUUAGCUAGUAGGUGGUGUAAAGGCUCAACGAGUCGACGAUCCCUAGCUGGUCUGAGAGGAUGACCAGCCACACGGGAAGUGAGACACGUGCCAGACUCCUACGGGAGGCAGCAGUGGGGAAUAGUGCACAAUGGGCGCAAGCCUGAUGCAGCCAUGCCGCGUGUAUGAAGAAGGCCUUCGGGUUGUAAAGUACUUUCAGCGGGGAGGCGUUACCCGCAGAAGAAGCACCGGCUAACUCCGUGCCAGCAGCCGCGGUAAUAC
rnacentral:rRNA from 1 species